rnacentral:rRNA from 1 species
CCAGACUCCUACGGGAGGCAGCAGUGGGGAAUAUUGCACAAUGGGGGGAACCCUGAUGCAGCGACGCCGCGUGGGCGAGGAAGUAUUUCGGUAUGUAAAGCCCUAUCGGCAGGGAAGAAGAAAUGACGGUACCUGAAUAAGAAGCACCGGCUAAAUACGUGCCAGCAGCCGCGGUAAUACGUAUGGGGCAAGCGUUAUCCGGAUUUACUGGGUGUAAAGGGAGCGUAGACGGCCAGGCAAGUCUGGAGUGAAAGCCCGGGGCUCAACCCCGGGACUGCUUUGGAAACUGCCAGGCUGGAGUGCUGGAGAGGCAAGCGGAAUUCCUAGUGUAGCGGUGAAAUGCGUAGAUAUUAGGAAGAACACCAGUGGCGAAGGCGGCUUGCUGGACAGUAACUGACGUUGAGGCUCGAAAGCGUGGGGAGCAAACAGGAUUAGAUACCCUGGUAAG